AGAAUGAACGCUGGCGGCAUGCCUAACACAUGCAAGUCGAACGAAGGCUUCGGCCUUAGUGGCGCACGGGUGCGUAACGCGUGGGAAUCUGCCCCUCGGUUCGGAAUAACAGCGAGAAAUUGCUGCUAAUACCGGAUAAUGACGUAAGUCCAAAGAUUUAUCGCCGAGGGAUGAGCCCGCGUAGGAUUAGCUAGUUGGUGUGGUAAAGGCGCACCAAGGCGACGAUCCUUAGCUGGUCUGAGAGGAUGAUCAGCCACACUGGGACUGAGACACGGCCCAGACUCCUACGGGAGGCAGCAGUGGGGAAUAUUGGACAAUGGGCGAAAGCCUGAUCCAGCAAUGCCGCGUGAGUGAUGAAGGCCUUAGGGUUGUAAAGCUCUUUUACCCGGGAUGAUAAUGACAGUACCGGGAGAAUAAGCUCCGGCUAACUCCGCGCCAGCAGCCGC
rnacentral:rRNA from 1 species